rnacentral:tRNA from 1 species
AUUUAUUAAURGCAAAUAAAUGCAUUAGAAUUAGAAUCUAAAAAUAAG